GAUGAACGCUAGCUACAGGCUUAACACAUGCAAGUCGAGGGGCAGCAUGGUCUUAGCUUGCUAAGGCCGAUGGCGACCGGCGCACGGGUGAGUAACACGUAUCCAACCUGCCGUCUACUCUUGGACAGCCUUCUGAAAGGAAGAUUAAUACAAGAUGGCAUCAUGAGUCCGCAUGUUCACAUGAUUAAAGGUAUUCCGGUAGACGAUGGGGAUGCGUUCCAUUAGAUAGUAGGCGGGGUAACGGCCCACCUAGUCUUCGAUGGAUAGGGGUUCUGAGAGGAAGGUCCCCCACAUUGGAACUGAGACACGGUCCAAACUCCUACGGGAGGCAGCAGUGAGGAAUAUUGGUCAAUGGGCGAGAGCCUGAACCAGCCAAGUAGCGUGAAGGAUGACUGCCCUAUGGGUUGUAAACUUCUUUUAUAAAGGAAUAAAGUCGGGUAUGGAUACCCGUUUGCAUGUACUUUAUGAAUAAGGAUCGGCUAACUCCGUGCCAGCAGCCGCGGUAAUACGGAGGAUCCGAGCGUUAUCCGGAUUUAUUGGGUUUAAAGGGAGCGUAGAUGGAUGUUUAAGUCAGUUGUGAAAGUUUGCGGCUCAACCGUAAAAUUGCAGUUGAUACUGGAUAUCUUGAGUGCAGUUGAGGCAGGCGGAAUUCGUGGUGUAGCGGUGAAAUGCUUAGAUAUCACGAAGAACUCCGAUUGUGAAGGCAGCCUGCUAAGCUGCAACUGACAUUGAGGCUCGAAAGUGUGGGUAUCAAACAGGAUUAGAUACCCUGGUAGUCCACACGGUAAACGAUGAAUACUCGCUGUUUGCGAUAUACUGCAAGCGGCCAAGCGAAAGCGUUAAGUAUUCCACCUGGGGAGUACGCCGGCAACGGUGAAACUCAAAGGAAUUGACGGGGGCCCGCACAAGCGGAGGAACAUGUGGUUUAAUUCGAUGAUACGCGAGGAACCUUACCCGGGCUUAAAUUGCAGAUGAAUUACGGUGAAAGCCGUAAGCCGCAAGGCAUCUGUGAAGGUGCUGCAUGGUUGUCGUCAGCUCGUGCCGUGAGGUGUCGGCUUAAGUGCCAUAACGAGCGCAACCCUUGUUGUCAGUUACUAACAGGUUCCGCUGAGGACUCUGACAAGACUGCCAUCGUAAGAUGUGAGGAAGGUGGGGAUGACGUCAAAUCAGCACGGCCCUUACGUCCGGGGCUACACACGUGUUACAAUGGGGGGGUACAGAGGGCCGCUACCACGCGAGUGGAUGCCAAUCCCCAAAACCUCUCUCAGUUCGGACUGGAGUCUGCAACCCGACUCCACGAAGCUGGAUUCGCUAGUAAUCGCGCAUCAGCCACGGCGCGGUGAAUACGUUCCCGGGCCU
rnacentral:rRNA from 1 species